GACGAACGCUGGCGGCGUGCUUAACACAUGCAAGUCGAACGGUGAAGCGCCUUCCUUUUUGGUGGGUGUGGAGGAGCGGCGAACGGGGGAGUAACACGAUAGUAACCUGCUCCCUUCUUCUGGAUAACCGCAUGAAAGUGUGGCUAAUACGGGAUAUUCUGAGCCUGUCGCAUGAUGGGUCUGGGACAGAUUUUGUUUCGGUGGGGGAUGGGCCCGCGGCUUAUCAGCUUGUUGGUGUGGUGAUGGCCUACCAAGGCGGUGACGGGUAGCCGGCCGGAGAGGGUGGACCGCCACAGUGCGGCUGCGCGGCCCACCAGCCUCCUGCAGGCGGCAGCAGUGAAGAUUAGUGCACAGUGGGCGCAAGGCUGGUGCAGCGACGCCUCGUGGGGGAUGGUCGCCUUCGCGUUGUGAUCCUCUUUUGCGAGUGAAGCAGGGCUGCCUCGUUUGUGGGUGGGUUGACGGUAGCUAGAUAAAAAGCGCCGGCUAACUACGUG
rnacentral:rRNA from 1 species